GACGUAGGGAGCGAGCGUUGUCCGGAUUUAUUGGGCGUAAAGAGCUCGUAGGUGGCUUGUCGCGUCGGUUGUGAAAACCUGCAGCUUAACUGUGGGCUUGCAGCCGAUACGGGCGGGCUAGAGGCAGGUAGGGGAGAGUGGAAUUCCUGGUGUAGCGGUGAAAUGCGCAGAUAUCAGGAGGAACACCGGUGGCGAAGGCGGCUCUCUGGACCUGUUCUGACGCUGAGGAGCGAAAGCGUGGGGAGCGAACAGG
rnacentral:rRNA from 1 species